AGCCCCGUGUUGGGAGUAGACAUUACUUAAAAAAAUAAGAUCUUAAAAAUAAAUAAACAAACAAACAAACAAGGCACAGCUUCACCUUUUGUUCCUGCAGUGUUCACAUACGUUUGGUACAUUAACUAAAAGUCAGAGGAUCAUGAAAACUGGUCUCUCUAGAGAAGCCACAUGAAGAUAAUGGACACGUGAUCGUACCGGUCCCUUCAGCUGACCUGUCAUCAGUUUCUUGAAGAAUCUGGCUAUUUUCUCUUUGCACCAAGCUCUGAACACAACAGCAGACAGUGGGAUGAGCAUAAGGAGUGCUCCACGGUGGUAAUUCCGCACUGGACCAGGGCCUGGCCUCGGAGCAGAUUAGGGCUUUUUAACCAGGGGACUGCAGGCUUCUUGACCCUUAGUGAGUUCAGCUCUCGGCCUGCUCAAGACAAAAUCAGAAAUGCGACGGUUCUGCGACCACUAUAGGACAUCGAAUCAGCACUUACAAAUGAGCCUCAAGAAAGCAUGGAGCUGAGAUGGCUUUCCUGGUGACAGCUACCAUUCAAGGAACAGAGAAGUCCUGGGACACAACUCAUCUGGAGAGUGGAAAGAGGGAAGCUCCCUAACUCGUUAAUGAGGCCAGCAAAACAUUGGUACCCUAAGUCGGUUUAUUAUUAGCCUGGCCGGUAGCGGUGAUGGCAAGGGCAUCCUAGCGUGUGAGAAAGAAAACACGCAGGCCCAUCUUGUUAUUAAUAUAUAAACACAAAAAUGUGAAACACAGUAUUGGCCAGAUCCGGCGAUGCACGGGAGAGAUAACCCAUCAGGGCCAUGUUGGAUUACUCCUAGGAAUGCAAGAUGAAUGUAACAGGGGGAAAACUGAUGAAUGUAAUUUGCUUU